GAACCUUAAAAUAUUGCACUUGAUGUUUAGAAGAUCCUAAGCUUUUGAAUAAGUUCUGCACCUGGAUGGAUCGGGCUGUUCAGAGAUCUCAGGUCUCUUCACAUCGUGGGGCGUGCAUCAUCUCCACUUCAGAGUCCAGAUGGAAUGCACGAGGAGAAGAGAGAAGCACCUGCCAUGCAGACAUUCUUUUUCUCUCUGCAUCUUGACAGCCAUGAUAUAAGCUAUUCUCCUCUAGCAUGCUACAAGUAGCAACUGAAACUAUGAACUCAAAGAGAUUAUUUUUUUCCAUCAUAAUUUUCUCAGGUAUUUUCACAAAGAAAUAAAAAAACUGCCUGACACAAACA